rnacentral:rRNA from 1 species
UACAGAGGGUGCGAGCGUUAAUCGGAAUUACUGGGCGUAAAGCGCACGUAGGUGGCUUUGCAAGUCGAUUGUGAAAUCCCCGGGCUUAACCUGGGAACUGCAGUCGAGACUGCUUUGCUUGAGUAUGGGAGAGGGAGGUGGAAUUUCCGGUGUAGCGGUGAAAUGCGUAGAUAUCAGGAGGAACACCGGUGGCGAAGGCGGCUUUCUGGACAGAUACCGACGCUGAGGCACGAAAGUGCGGGGAUCAAACAGG